AACGUAGACAUGGCCGGCAUGGGUUAAAGUGUAGUAUGUGUUAUUAUCAGCUUAAUAUCUGAUAUGGAUUGUAUUUGGACUCAAUAUAUUAAACUUAUUUUCGCACGUUGGCGGAGUGCUUGAAGCCUGCUUCACCUCCGCCGCGGCUUGGCCCAGUAUAGCACUGUCUUCGAGAUCGGCCUACGGUUU